AUUGAACGCUGGCGGCAUGCCUUACACAUGCAAGUCGAACGGCAGCACGGGUGCUUGCACCUGGUGGCGAGUGGCGAACGGGUGAGUAAUACAUCGGAACAUGUCCUGUAGUGGGGGAUAGCCCGGCGAAAGCCGGAUUAAUACCGCAUACGAUCUACGGAUGAAAGCGGGGGACCUUCGGGCCUCGCGCUAUAGGGUUGGCCGAUGGCUGAUUAGCUAGUUGGUGGGGUAAAGGCCUACCAAGGCGACGAUCAGUAGCUGGUCUGAGAGGACGACCAGCCACACUGGGACUGAGACACGGCCCAGACUCCUACGGGAGGCAGCAGUGGGGAAUUUUGGACAAUGGGCGAAAGCCUGAUCCAGCAAUGCCGCGUGUGUGAAGAAGGCCUUCGGGUUGUAAAGCACUUUUGUUCGGAAAGAAAACCUUGGCCCUAAUACGGUCGGGGGAUGACGGUACCGGAAGAAUAAGCACCGGCUAACUACGUG
rnacentral:rRNA from 1 species